CCUACGGGAGGCAGCAGUGAGGAAUAUUGGUCAAUGGACGGAAGCCUGAACCAGCCAUGCCGCGUGAAGGAAGACGGCUCUAUGAGUUGUAAACUGCUUUUGUACAAGGGUAAACCUAAACACGUGUAUUCAGCUGAAAGUACUUUACGAAUAAGGAUCGGCUAACUCCGUGCCAGCAGCCGCGGUAAUACGGAGGAUCCAAGCGUUAUCCGGAUUUAUUGGGUUUAAAGGGUGCGUAGGUGGAUUGUUAAGUUAGAGGUGAAAGUUCCGAGCUUAACUCGGGAACUGCCACUGAUACUGGUGAUCUAGAGAGUAGAUGCGGUAGGCGGAAUGUAUGGUGUAGCGGUGAAAUGCUUAGAGAUCAUGCAGAACACCGAUUGCGAAGGCAGCUUACCAAUCUAUAUCUGACGUUGAGGCACGAAAGCGUGGGGAGCAAACAGGAUUAGAUACCCCAGUAGUC
rnacentral:rRNA from 1 species